CAAUCUGGCUGCCACCAGUGGUCCUGCCACCACUCUCACGCAGAGUCCCCCCUCUCUCUCAGUGGCCGUGUGGGCCACCACUGUUGCUCUGCUACUACUGGACUGUCAUUGUUUUCGAUCUUGGCCUGGGUCCUGCUGCAGGCUGCCAGGCCAACCACUUGGCAUGCAUGUGCCCCUGCUCACUGUGGCAGUGGACUCAGCCUAUCUCACUGCCAUCUGGCAUCUCCUCUGCCCCCACACACCGUCCUAUCUGACUUCAUUUACAAAACACAAGAGUCAGAUAAAAACGAUAAGAUAAGCAAAUUCACAGCAGUGACAGCAGAGUGUUAAAACAAGCACAGGGCCUCUUGUGAGGGUGGGCCUAAGUGAUGGCACAGGCUACAUUCCCAUGAAGCCACCCCUGCUUGUGGGACUAGGUCAGGCAUGUGAUGGGGCCCCAUGCUGGACUUAACAUGUCUGGGCAUGCAUAACUGAGUAAUAGGGUAAAUCCCCUACAUCAAUUUUCUGGUUUUCCUAUACAAAAAAGCACAAAGUAUGUGCUUCACAAGGGACUGGGUUGGGAGAAUAAGAAGUGCCAAUUCCUGGACCCUGGCCCAGCCCUGAGGAUGGGCAUCUGACUGAGCCCUUUGCAGAGUGAGGCUGCAAGCAGAAGCUGAAGGAGCCGUUUUUCUCAAGGGCCCUGUGGAUGUGGAGAAGCCUGCAGGGAUGCUUGGGGGUUCAGAUGACUGCAUGGCACAGAGCCUCCCACAGCUCUGAAGAGCAGUAAGCCAGGUACUGGACAACUAAGCACUGCAGAAAGACCCAGUUGGUCUGGUCCCUCAGGGCAGCAGCUCUGGGGGGCACCGCCACAGCUUUUCACUGUGGAGAUCAGCAGCAGCAGCUAUGGCAGCAUCCUGACCUCACAGGCCUUCCUGCCUUGCAUGGAGGAGCCAGGCAGGAGAGGAGCAAGACCUGUAGAAGCCUGGGUGAUAGAAGACUACUUGUGAGCUGGUGUGAGUCACGCUCAGCAAAGGGGGAAGAAGCAGUAAAAUGGGGUUAGAAUCAUUCCUGGGACUCUGUUUGUAACCAAGGGUUCUAGGGAAGACUGGUUACAGAAGUGAUCUUGGUGUUGAGCACUUAAAGGCCCAAGAUGGACCGGUUCUAUGAAGGUCGGCAGCAUGAGUAUGGUGUCACGACUCAGACAGGAUGAGAGUCAUCAUUGGAUCCCUGGGCCUCUCACCCAGGACCCCAGGUGCCUACCUUUGAAGCUUUCAUCUUCACUCCUGACUGACUGAUUGGGGCUCCAUUGGUGAGCCCGACUCCUGAUCCAAUCCAGGCCUCCAGAUGACAGUCUGUUGAAGAAUGGGCAGCACAGAUUGUGAUUCUUGAGAUUCUGAGUAUACUCUUGAAGCUGGGUUAGUGUCCUAGGCUUCUCUGCUUGUAAGAACUGGGCUAUAAUCCCAGGCAAACAAAAGGCUGGGUUGGAAUCUCAGGUUUCUCUGUAAGAAAGAGGCUGAGUUAGAUUCCCAGGCUUUCCUGUUUUAAGACAUAGAGUUGGGAUUAGAGUGCCAGGCUCCAUUGUUUGUGAGGUAUCAUGAGUUAUGAACAUGGCAGCUUCUCAGUUGACUGAACCUCACCCCAACCUCCUUCUGAAACCCCUGCUGACUAUGUGCUCCACCACCUAGGCACUAACUCUGUCUGCUUCCCUUCUUGUUGAUAUGAUCUUACAAAGGAUAAUUUGGGACUUCCCUAAAGUGGCAUCUCUAAGAUCUCUCUCUUCCUUUUGCCUCCAUUCCUCCUUCCAUUUUUGAUAUGCCCUCCUUUAAACCCCCACCUCCUCCACAUUUUUGUUCAGCCCUGCCAGACUUUUCCCUUCCCACUCCAGGCUCUCAACUACCUACACUCACUGGAGCCCCGUUGGAGACUCUAUGGGACUCAAGAGCCUCCAAAAGCAACUACAAUAUCUUAAAAAUGUCCUCCAUAAUAUUGGUAAAAAAUAUUUUUGCUCUCACAUUGGUCAGGUAGCAACUUGUUCCAUUCACCAAAAACACAAUUUGGAUAAAAAAAUUAAAGUGCAGUAAAGACGAGAGCCAACCAUUUCAUAUAAACCAGAGUUCUGUAUUACUGUGUUUACCUGACUCAUGGCUACAAUUUUAAAAUGGAAGCUAUAAGGUCUCCAUUUGCAUCUAUCUGUAUGUUUAUGUAUGUACAUAUGUAUGUUAUGUAUAUGUGAUACUUUCCUAUCUUCUGAUGGUAUUACCCAAUUAAUUUAUAAAACCCUAUAAAGAAGCUCUAUUCUGACAGGCUUAGGGACAAAUUGCUUAUAUCAAUUAAAUAUUUAUAAAGCUCUCAGAAAUAUAGGAAUUAACCCCAAUUUUUUUUAAGUUCAUGUGACUUUGGGAAAUAUUUGUUAGAUAAAACCAGUUUAAAAUUGUUGAUUGAAUAAAACAGCUGUCUUCUGAGUUAUCACAUGUAUUAAAUUCAUGUGAGUGGAAUCAAAAUUUUAUAAAUGAACUUUUUGACAAUAAUUAUGUUUUAUAAUAUCUGCCUAAAAAUGCUUUCCACAAUCUUUUUGGUAACUUGCAAUCUUAAAAUUAUGCUAAGUAAUACAUAUUCAUUAACUAUCUAGAUUAUUUCUAAGUCAGAUAAACCACUGAAAAUUUAUUUUUAAGCAUAAGUUUAAUUUUAUAUACUUUUGGCUUCUUAUUUUUAUAUCAUAUAGAGAGGCUACAUAUAUUUAGGUCUGUUACUAAACAUUCUUUUUGCCACAUUAAAACAAUUGUAUUACGAGGAAGCACAUACCUAUAAAAAUUGUGAGAUGGUAUAUUCAUAAAAUUUGCUGAUCUGCUACAGAAUGUUGGUACUUGACAGACAACUCACAAUUGUCUAUAACCUAGUUUUUUCUGUUACCAAAAAAAGAGGUUACUUAUGGUUAAAAAUUUUAAUCAACAUAUGUAAAUAAAGCUACUAGAACUAAUAAAGAUAAAGGGAAAUGACUUGCAAGCACAAUUUGCAAAGCAGGAAGAAUGUGUUUUUGUAUGGGAAAAAUAAAAAUAACUGUCUUAAAGUGAAAUGACUGGCUGUUCCAGAAUAAGAAAGAGGAAAACAUAGAACAAAAUGAAAUAGAUAUAAAAAAUUGUAAAAGGAAUAUUGGGCCAGAGCAAUUAGGCAAGACAAACAAACAAAGGGCAUCCAAAUUGGAAAGAAAGAAGUCAAAUUAGCCUUGUUUGCAGAUGACGUAACCUUGGACCUAGAAAAAUUGAAAGACUCCACUAAAACACUGAUAAAACUAAUAAACAAAUUCAGUAAAGUUUCAGGAUACAAAAUCAACAUACAAACUGAGCGUAGUGGCUCACGUUUGUAAUUCCAGCACUUUGAGAGUACAAGGUGAGUGGAUUGCUUGAGCCCAGGAGUUUGAUGCCAGCCUGGGCAAUAUGGCAAAACCCAGUCUCAACCAAAAAAUUUAAAAAUUAACCAUGUGUGGUGGCGUGCACCUAUAGUCCCACCUAACUUGUGAGGCUGAGGUUGGGAGGGUUGCUUGAGCCCAGGAGCUCAAGACUGCGGUGAGCCAUGAUUGUGCCACUACACUCUAGCCUGGGUGACAGAACGAGACAGUGUCUAAAAAAAAAAAAAAAAAAAGAAGACCAAACAAAAAAAUACAAAUACAUACAAAAAUCAGUAGCAUUUAUAUACCCAAUAGCAAACAAUUUGAAAAAGAACUCAAGAAAGCCAUCCCAUUUACAAUAGCUACAAAAAAUAUAAAAUAUCUAGGAAUCCUUUUAACCAAAGAAGCGAAAGAUCUGUAUAAGGAAAACUAUAAAACUCUGAUGAAAGAAAUGGCAGAAGACACCAAAAAAUGAAAGAUAUUUUAUACUCAUGGAUCAGAAAAAUUAAUAUUGUUAGAAUGACAAUACUCAAAGCAAUUUACAGAUUUAAUGCAAUCCCUAUCAAAAUACUAAUGUUAUAUGCCUACUAUGUACCCAUAAAAAUGUUUUCAAUUUUUUUUAAAGAUAAAAUAAAAUAGGUCGGGCGUGGUGGCUCAUGCCUGUAAUCCUAGCACUUUGGG
rnacentral:lncRNA from 10 species